rnacentral:snoRNA from 1 species
UCCCUCAGCUCUACUGGCUCACAGGCCCAGUGUGUGCUUGGAAUGUUUUUAAUGGAGAAAGGGGAAGGCCCUCCUCAUUCAUGGCAGACCUGCCCGAAGGAGCUUCUCUGUUCCUAGGAGUCUGCCCAGC